rnacentral:rRNA from 1 species
UACAGAGGGUGCGAGCGUUAAUCGGAAUUACUGGGCGUAAAGGGUGCGUAGGUGGUUGAAUAAGUUAGGUGUGAAAUUCCCGGGCUUAACCUGGGGACUGCGCCUGAUACUGUUUAACUAGAGUACUGUAGAGGAAGGUGGAAUUUCCGGUGUAGCGGUGAAAUGCGUAGAUAUCGGAAGGAACAUCGGUGGCGAAGGCGACUUUCUGGACAGCUACUGACACUGAGGCACGGAAAGCAUGGGGAGCAAACAGGG